UGACCUCAGAUCAGGCAAGGCAACCCGCUGAAUUUAAGCAUAUUAAUAAGCGGAGGAAAAGAAACUAACAAGGAUUCCCAUAGUAAUGUCGAAUGAAGCGGGAACAGCUCAAAUUUAAAAUCUCCGUUGCUUGCAACGGCGAAUUGUAGUUUCGAGAAGCACUUUCUCGGCGGAUCCGAGGUCGUCCAAGUUGCUUGGAACAGCACGUCGUAGAGGGUGACAACCCCGUCUGCGGCGAUCUCGGCCGUUCACGAUGUGCUUUCGACGAGUCGGGUUGUUUGGGAAUGCAGCCCAAAAUGGGUGGUAAACUCCAUCUAAAGCUAAAUAUUGGCACGAGACCGAUAGCGAACAAGUACCGUGAGGGAAAGAUGAAAAGCACUUUGAAAAGAGAGUUAAAAAGUACGUGAAACCGUUAAAAGGGAAACGAAUGGGGUUAGCAAUGCGUCGUGCGAGAUUCAGCCGGUGGGUGGGCCAGGCGGGCGGUUGGCGGAUCUGAAUGGACCGCUGCCGUUCGGGUUGGUUUCCCGACCGUCGCACUUCUCGCAGGCGCGCGCCAACGUCGGUUAGGGCUGGGUCUCAAAGGCGGUGGAAAGGUAGGUUUGGACUCUCGGGCCCGAACUGUUACAGUCCUCCGUUGUCAGGGGAUCCUCAGAG
rnacentral:ncRNA from 1 species